GCUUGUCUCAAAGAUUAAGCCAUGCAUGUCUAAGUAUAAAUAGUAUACAGUGAAACUGCGAAUGGCUCAUUAAAACAGUUAUAGUUUACUUGAUAAUUGAAUUCUACAUGGAUAACCGUGGUAAUUCUAGGGCUAAUACAUGCGGCAAAACCCAACUUUUCGGAAGGGUUGUAUUUAUUAGAUAACAAACCAAUAUUCCUUCGGGUCUAUUGUGAUGAUUCAUAGUAACUGAUCGGAGCGCGACUACGUUGCGCUAAAUCAUUCAAGUUUCUGCCCUAUCAGCUUUCGAUGGUAGUGUAUUGGACUACCAUGGCAGUCACGGGUAACGGGGAAUUAGGGUUCGAUUCCGGAGAGGGAGCCUGAGAAACGGCUACCACAUCUAAGGAAGGCAGCAGG
rnacentral:rRNA from 1 species